rnacentral:rRNA from 1 species
AAAGAUUAAGCCAUGCAUGUCUAAGCACAUGCCUUAAUACGGUGAAGCCGCGAAUAGCUCAUUACAACAGCCACCGUUUACUAGAAUAUAGUUAUCCUACUUGGAUAACUGUGGCAAUUCUAGAGCUAAUACAUGCAAAAAAGCUCUGCCCGCAAGGAACGAGCGCAUUUAUUAGAAUAAAAACCAAUCGGGUUUCGGCCCGUAAUUUGGUGAAUCUGAAUAACUUUGCCAAUCGCACAGUCCUAGUACUGGCGAUGUAUCUUUCAAGUGUCUGCCUUAUCAACUUUCGAUGGUAGGUUAUACGCCUACCAUGGUAGUAACGGGUAACGGAGAAUAAGGGUUCGACUCCGGAGAGGGAGCCUGAGAAACGGCUACCACAUCCAAGGAAGGCAGCAGGCGCGCAAAUUACCCACUUCCAGAACGGAGAGGUAGUGACGAAAAAUAACGAGACAGUCCUCUUCGAGGUCUGUCAUCGGAAUGGGUACAAUUUAAAUCCUUUAACGAGGAUCUAUUGGAGGGCAAGUCUGGUGCCAGCAGCCGCGGUAAUUCCAGCUCCAAUAGCGUAUAUUAAAGUUGUUGCGGUUAAAACGCUCGUAGUUGGAUCUGCGGCCUCGGAGAACGGUCCCCCGAAAGGGUGGUCACUGUCUCUCCUAGCCUAAAUUCGAGUCGUCUCUAGGUGCUCUUUACCGAGUGCUUAGAGUGACUAGAACGUUUACUUUGAAAAAAUUAGAGUGCUUAAAGCAGGCGAAAUAGCCUGAAUAAGGUGCAUGGAAUAAUGGAAUAGGACCUCGGUUCUAUUUUGUUGGUUUUCGGAACCCGAGGUAAUGAUUAAGAGGAACAGACGGGGGCAUUCGUAUUCCGGCGCUAGAGGUGAAAUUCUUGGACCGCCGGAAGACGGACGACUGCGAAAGCAUUUGCCAAGAAU